GUACACUCCUACGGGAGGCAGCAGUGGGGAAUUUUGGACAAUGGGCGAAAGCCUGAUCCAGCAAUGCCGCGUGAGUGAAGAAGGCCUUCGGGUUGUAAAGCUCUUUUGUCAGGGAAGAAACGGUGAAAGCUAAUAUCUUUUGCUAAUGACGGUACCUGAAGAAUAAGCACCGGCUAACUACGUGCCAGCAGCCGCGGUAAUACGUAGGGUGCAAGCGUUAAUCGGAAUUACUGGGCGUAAAGCGUGCGCAGGCGGUUUUGUAAGUCUGAUGUGAAAUCCCCGGGCUCAACCUGGGAAUUGCAUUGGAGACUGCAAGGCUAGAAUCUGGCAGAGGGGGGUAGAAUUCCACGUGUAGCAGUGAAAUGCGUAGAUAUGUGGAGGAACACCGAUGGCGAAGGCAGCCCCCUGGGUCAAGAUUGACGCUCAUGCACGAAAGCGUGGGGAGCAAACAGGAUUAGAAACCCGUGUAGUCCCAUGAU
rnacentral:rRNA from 1 species